rnacentral:lncRNA from 1 species
GGAGACCUAGAAAAGAUAUCCAUGAGAUCUCCCUUUCUCUUUGAAGACACCAACGACGCUCCUCUCCUCUCUUUAACAGAGAACUGGCAACCUCCCUCCAUGAAAUCUCAUCUCUCACCCUCACUCACACAAAAACGUUAAGACUCAACCUUUUUUUCUCUCUAAAAAAAUAAUAAUAAUACAACCAGAAAUAGAUAGAUUUUAGAAAGGAUUUUUUUUCUUCUGAAAACUGGUUCCUAUCUUCAUUUUUCUGGAUCUGCUUUCUUCCAAAAAAUACUGGAAAUUUCAAUAUUCUGCUGUAGUUCUAUAUGGUUUGCUGUUGAUUUAUUCAAGUUGUUGUUGUGCUCCAUCUAAAUUUGGCCUUCUCUUAGUGUUUUUCUUGCUUUGAAUAGGUAAGUUCAAACACUCUUGUAUUUUCAUUUGUCUUGAGUGAACGAGUUUCAGAUUUUCAUGUAAUUUGGCUUGAAUUCUCAUACUAGUUUAGCUAUGUGAACUAAGUGCUUUCAUUAUUUUGACUGGAUUGUGAAAUCAUGUAAGCUUUCUUGGUUAUUUUUUUUUUUGCUUUUGUCACUGACUUUAUCGUGAUUUAUUCAGAUACAUUCAUAAUAUCUUGUGCCUGUUUAAGUGAUUUCCUAUAGUAGUUAAUGAUGAAGAAGAACUGGAGUGACUAAAUGUUUGGUUGUAGUUCAUGGACUUGACCAUUAAUUGGCCAGAUUUGCAAAAAACUUCAAAGCAAAUCAACAAGUUUUCAGAAGUGUUUGGAUUUCACUAUAGAUCUUCAUGUCUAAAUUAAGGGCUAAACCUCUUAUGUUUGGGUUGUAAUGUUAUUUUAAGCAUAAGAAUUCAUUUUAUUGUAAAUGUUAGAACUUAGCUAGGUUAAUUUAUGAAGAAUAUGAAGACAGGCGACUGUUUCUGACAAAAAAGAAAAAAGAAAAAAAAAUAUGGUCACGAUACGUAAUUCCCAAUUCGGGAGUGCAUUUCAUGUGGCCCUAUUAUAACAACUUCGAAUAAUAAACCUUUGAAAUAAAUUGAGGCGUGUCAUGCCAAACAAAACCUAUAACACAUGGCCCUCACAAAAUUAGCUCAAAAGCUAAUCUUUUUAGAAGAUAAUUUGAGGUGUGCCAUACGCAAACAAAAUCCAUAUCCUAUGGCCCUCACAUAAAUAAAAAAUAUUUUAGUGUAAAAAAUGCCUUGAACUUUCAUAGUUUGCUUUAAGCGCGUUAAUUAAAUAAUUGUCGUAGCUACGGGUACGGUUCCCGUGACGUAGUCGUGAUGCUUAUUACUAAAAUCCGGGGAUACAUUUAUGUGACCUGACCACAAUUUAAUCUUUAAACAUGUUGUAGAUCGUGGGUACGGUUCCCAUGACAUGAUUCGUAAUAUGUAACAAUAAUUAUUAAAAGCGGUUAUAAAGUUUAAAAAAUGCAUAAUAGGUUUAAAACAUAUAGUAAAUCAGAUAAUAGGCCAAUUAUUAAUGGUUUAAGCGACCGUGCUAGAACCACGGAAUCCAGGAAUGCCUAACACCUUCUCCCGGGUUAACAAAAUUCUUUAUCUAGAAUUUCUGGUUCGCAGACUUUUGAAUAAAGUCGAAAAUUUCUUCGAUUUGGGAUUUAAAAUAAAUCAUGACUUGGAACACCAAAUAAACUAUUUCAAGUGGCGACUCUGAUAAAUUAUUUAAUCCCAUUUCGAAUAAUGUCACUUUAAUUGGAAAAACUCCCUUAUAUACCCCCUUGGGUGGUAAAAAAAGAGGUGUGACAGCUCUGGCGACUCUGCUGGGGAUCGAACCCAGAAUCUUUGGUUCAGGGUUCAAGAAUUCAAGCUUAGAAUAAUUUUUAUAGUUGGCUUUUAUUUAUUAUCUGAUUGUUUAUUAUAUGUUUGGGCCUAAUGUGCUAAAUGUCGCUUUUUACCUUCUUGAUAUUAUUUGAACUGUAUAUAAACUGUUACGUAAACCUUCUCUUCUCAUCUUUGGGGAUGUCACGCUUGUGUGACUCCUUUUCUGUUAGUGUCAUACCUUGAAUUAGAAGGAGGCUCGGACAAGUUACAAAGUCGGAUGACCUUUUGGUUCCCGGUACGUAGUCCCCCUUGGCUCGAGUUGUCCGCUCGGGUAAACCAAGUCUAGAAUAAUACACCUAGGUUUUAAACCUAGAAUAACUCAGCCUCAUACCGGAUCCCUAGUAGGAACGCUUGUUUGCAUCAUGUGCAUUUGACUUUGGGGACUCAACACAGGGGUUCGGUCCAUCUGGGACAGGUGUACCCAAAUUAAAAAAGACCAUCCUGAUGCAUCUUACGUACUACUUGUACAAUUAUUUGAUUCGGCUUGCAUGUUGACCGGCUUCUAGAAGGAAAAAGAAAAUCAAAAAAAAGGUGAGAGGUAGAUAUCUAGAAAAUUCUGAAAUUCUGCCAAAAUUUUGAAAAAAAAAGUGAUUUCAAAAUGAGUCAAAAUUUUCAAGUGCUAUGUUUCCCUUGUUCUGUCAAAACUGACCGAACUACGCGAACCUGAUUCUCACCGGAUGUGAGAUAUGUAGACAAACCUCAUCGGUUCCGACCCCAAUUUUCAAAAAAAAAAUCCAAAAAUAUUUUUUUUUAGUUCCUUUUUUAGAAAUCUUUCGUUAGAAAAUUCAAAAAAAGAGAAGUUUUUAAACUCAAAAAUAGUUUCCUUCUUUCUGAAGUCUUUCAUAUGGAAAAAGAAAUAAAAAAAGAAAAAUCAAAAAGAAUAAAAAACCGAAAUACGGGUUUCCUUUAUCUUGAAGAAUUUUUUCAAAAAUUAAAAAACCAGAAAAAAGAAUUAAAAAAAAAAGAAAUAUUCUUUUCCUUCUUUAAAAGUAUUUCUUUCGUAAAUGUCAACAAAAAAAUUGAAACAUUAAAGUCCAAAAAUAUUUUUUGCUUUUCUUUAGAAGUAUUUUUGUAAAUAAAUAAAAAGCUCAGAAAUUCAAAACAUUUUCUUAAAAGUGCCUCUUUCGAAAAUUAAGGGGGCAACAUCCCAAAGACAAAAAUAUUUUCUUUCUUCUUUAGAAAAAGGGAAAACAAAUGAAAAUUCAAUUUAUUUUUUUUACUUUUGAAAAUUUGAAAGUUCAAAUCAAAAGAAAAAGAAUUUUUAGAAGUCUUUCUUUCAAAAAUAAAAGAAAAAUCAAAAUCAAAAUCAAAAAUCCAAAAAAAAAAUUCCCUUUCUUCUUGUAAAGAAAAAAAAAUCAAAAAUCAAAUAUGUUUUUCUUUUGCUUAAAGCUUUCAUGGUCUGAGUUUUAUAAAAGUAAACCAAAAAAAAGAGUUACCUUAUGUACUCCAUUCUCUAUCUUCCCGAACUAUACAAGAUCUGAUUCAUGCGGCGUCAUGAUACGUAGGCAAUCCUCAUCGGAUUCGAUCAUAGCCAUAAAAUUAACUGAGUGAAAAAUAAACUAAACAAAAAGAGAAAAAAAUUGAGUGAAAAAAAGAGAAAAAGAGAGUGCAAAAAAUAAAAGAGUGGCAAAAACGAGAUGAAAAAAAUAAGAGUGAUUAAAGAGAGGCAGAAAUGAAGAAAAGAGGUACAGAGUUAAAAGGGUUAGUUAAGGCCGGGAUAAAAUAUGCAACCGUUCGAACAUACGGUAGAAGCGUUUAACUGUUAGGUGCAUUGCAUCCUAACGUGCGAUUUCCUAUAUGUUAAAUGUUUCAAAACUAACAAGGUUGUUGGAUGUGCAAAUGUGAUGACCUUUGUUUUAAAAUAAAAUUCUGUGUUCUGAGACCUUAAAAACAUCUUUUAGCAUCACCUAGAUUUGCGUGCGCAGUCCGAGCACGUAGCCGCAAAGCUAUUAUGUGAAAAUCUGUGAAAAAUGAUAAACCCGAACCCGUGAUUUGAUGAAAAAUGAUAAACCCGAAGCAUCACCUAGACUUCGGUCAAAGUUUUGGGUAAAUAGACCCGAACCGGUAAUUUGAUGGUCCCGAAAGGUCCGUAGGAAAAUAUGGGACUUGGGCGUAUACCCGGAAUCGAAUUCCGAGGUCCCAAGCCCGAGAAAUAAAUUUUUAAAGAAAAUUAUUUUCUUAAAUUAUUUAUGAGAUUUAGAAAUGAAUUGUGAUUAGAACUUGAUGGUAUCGGGCCGGUAUUUUGGUUCCGACGCCCGGUAUAUGUCUUAUAUGUGAUUUAAGAUAAUUCUGUGAAGUUUGGUAAGAAACGGACUAGAAACGACGUGAAUCGGAUCAUUUUUGAGAAAAUUAAAAAUUUGAAGUUCUUGAGAAAAUUUCAUGAUUUUGAUGCAAAAUUCAUAGUAGUUGAUAUUAUUUUAGUGAUUUGAAUGCACGAGCGAGUCCGUAUGAUGUUUUUAGGUUGGUGUGCAUAUUUGGUUUGGAGCCCCGAGGGCUCGGGUGAGUUUUGGAUAGGCCUCGGGGUGUAUUUUGGACUUUGAAAAUUGCAGGUUUUCAGCCGUUGCAUUGCAGGCCUGCAGGCUUCGCAUUUGCGAAGCCUGGCUCCCAAAUGCGAAAUCGCAAAUGCGAGAGGCCUGUCGCAAAUGCUAAAGAGGCCCAGGCCAGCCCAUUCUCGCAAUUGCGAGGGUUCUAUCGCAAAUGCAAUCCCCUCCCUUCCUAGCCAGUGGUCGCAAAUGCAACCCUAUCUUUGAAUUUUCCAGCUCGCCAAUGCGAGACCUUUUUCGCAAUUCCCAACUUAGCAGAGGUAUGGGUUCGCAAUUGUGAAUCCCUGUUCGCAUUUCCCAUACCUGCGACCUGCAACUUUUACACUUAGCCGAAAAUCAAUCAUUUUUCACAUCUUUUCAAAACACAAACUCCCUAGAGCGAUUUUUCAAGAACAACUCUUCUUCCAAAUCGAUUGUAAGUCAAUUUUAUCUCGUUUCCUUCAAUCAAUAACAUCUUUUAACAUAAUUUCAAUUCAAAAUCAUUGAUUUUCAUGGAGGAAAUUAGGUGUUUUGGGUAGAACCUAGAUUUUUCAAAAAUUGGGGAUUUGGACCUCGAUUUGAAGUCCGAUUUCAAAACGAAUUAUAUAUUUGGGGGAAUGGGUAAUCGGGUUUUGGUUCGAAUCUUGGGUUUUGACCAUGUGAGCCCGGGGGCAAUUUUUGACUUUUUGGGCAAAACUCUGGAAAACUCAUUUUUAUGCAUUCAAAUUGAUUCAUUUAGCGUUUAUUGAUGUAAUUAAAUAACUUGUGACUAGAUACGAGUGAAUUGGUGGUGGAAUCAAGGGGUAAAGCUAUAAUUGAAACGUGAAUUGUGUUUGUGGCAUCGAGAUAAGUGUUUGGUCUAACCUUAACUUGAGGGAUUAGGAGUCGAGUCCUAUUUGCUAUGUGUUAUUUGUCGAGUACUAUGUAUAGGCAUGGUGACGAGUAUCUAUACAUGGGUGUGAAGCAUGCCCGUGAGUCUUAUGUUGUGACUAUUAUGGCCUCAUUGUAUUAUUCAUGCUUUGAUGAUGAUUUCUAUUGUUGGGCAAAGUUUGUGGGAGUAAUUGUAACAUUUGAACAUUGAGGAGCAUUGGCUCGAGUUGUAUAAUGAAAUGUGAAAGUAUAAGUGGAAGUUGAACCUUUUACAGCAUUGGCUCAAAGAGGUGAACUGAGUUGUGAAGUAAAAGUGAAAAAGAUAAGAGAAUUAUUAUGUUAUCUACCUUGCCGGGAUAUUGUUGCUUUUAAUGUUAUCUCCCUUGCCGGGAUGUUGUUGUUGUUUUGAUGUUGUCCCUUACCAGGAUUUAUAUUGUAGUUUCAUUUAUUUCCUUGCCCUAAUUUUUGUGAUUGUUGUUUGGGUGAGAAAGAGAGUUAAAGCACGAAGGGUGAUGUCGUGUAAUGUUUGGUGAAAGAGUGUUAAAGCACGAAGGGUGAUAUCGUGUAUGAUUUGUGAGGAAAGAGUGUAAAGCACGAAGGGUGAUGUCGUGUUGCAUCAUGUACCAUUUUGUGUCGAUUAUAUUGAUUAUAUGGCGAGGAGGAGAGUAAAAGCACGAAGGUUGAUGACGUGCACAUUUUCAUUACUUGAUUGUUUUGGUGAGGACGAGAGUAAAAGCACGAAGGGUGAUGCCGUGCACUUAUUGAUUUCUGGGUCUUUGUUGUUAUCUGAGAUUUACUGUUUCCUUCAAUUACCUGUUGUCUUUCUAUUCUGAAUUGAUAUCUCCCCCGCAGCAUGCUACCGUUCCCAUAUUUGAUUGUUUAUUUCUGUUCUUCUUUUCCGUUAUAUUUAGUUGAAUUGUACAGGUUUAUGUGGUAGUCUGGUCCUAGCCUCAUCACUACUUCGCCGAGGUUAGGCUAGGCACUUACCAGCACAUGGGGUCGGUUGUGCUGAUACUACACUCUGGACUAUGUGCAGAUCUCGGGGCAGCUUUUGGACCGUAGAUUGGAUGGCUACCUUCAGUCCACGUGGAGAUCCAAGGUAGACCUGCAGGCGUCCGUAGGCCCUGC